CUCCAUGGCUCUUUGCGUCUGGGUCCUAGAGUCACCCGAGCUCAAAACGUGCGACUGACUACUUACUCUGUUCGGGUCUUAGUGAGACUAGGUUAAGAAAGUAAGGGCUGGAUUUUGAGGAAGAAGAAGAAGAAGAAACACUGAAGAGCAGCCAGGCUCCCUUUUUGUAAGUGGGCUCUGAAUUUGACAUCACUCAUUCGCUUAAGAGAACCUGAGACAGAGCUGCUUACUUAGAAAUUCAUCUGUCGAGAUAAAUAAUGAGGACAAAGCAGAUUUUCACUUUUCUUACCAGUGGAUGUGGUAGAGCAAAGCCCACAUCUUCAUCUAUGUGGUGGUCUUCAAGGAUCCUUCUAGAACCUUCUGUAGGAGAUAUUUUACUGAGUGCCAUUGCUGUCUACUCCACUGACCCCCCACUUGGCCACUGAAGGAAUGUCCCAGCAUCUCUUAUAGGGUUUAGCCAAACCCCACAGCUGACACGUAAUACUCGGGGAGAAGUGGCUUCCACCUGGGACAGUUUCAUUUUCUGUUUUAUGUAUUUGCAAUUUGAUAAACAACCAAACCACAAAGGAUCUCUCUUCGUCAUAUGAAGAAACUAAACAUUUGUGUUUCUUAUCAGAUUUAUCCCAUAAGGACAUCAACUGUUGGCUCUGAUGGCCUCAGCUUCCCAGUGCCAAUUAUGGUGACCGAGUGCACACUCAGGCCUCGGCCCUGGAAACCACCCCAUCAGUGGUUUGGGUGGCCACCUGUUACCCCAGCAGGAGGAUUGGGUGUUCAAGCCACAAAGUGCCCAACUCACAUGACAAGAACCAUGAGGACAGGUGACCAGGAGAAUGCAUUUUGCUUUAGAAAACGUUCAGAGUUUGGGUUUAAAAUAAAGACAGCCGAACUAGCAA